rfam:Gossypium arboreum cultivar AKA8401 contig_114055_1, whole genome shotgun sequence.
AAUCCAUGCAACGAACGUUUUCAAAGUAAUUCCUUAAAUCAUUCCCAAGCUUCAUAUAGUGUUUUAUCCUCUAAUUGCUGAAAAUAUGUGAUGUUAUUUCGAAGCUU